AAAGUGAAACUUAUAAAGGUUAACUUUCGGUAAAUUUGUGUGUUCUUCCUUGUUCAUUAAUGAGUUUAUCUCUACUAAACUAAACUAUAUGAUUUUUCUAGUCUAAGUUUAUUUACUGAUAAUUAAUGAGUUGCUUGUCAGAUCGUUUGUUGUUUAUAUUUGUCUAUUAUAUUUGAUCUUGAGAUUCUGUAUAUCAUGUAACAGAUUUUUAAACUUUUUC